CAAAUAAAAUUGAGAAUGGAAAUGGGGAAUGUAUCAAAGAGACAACAACCCGACCAUAGAAAAAACAACAGCAGAAGGUCACCAACAGGUCUUCAAUGUAACGAGAAAUUCCCGCACCCGGAGGCGUCCUUCAGCUGGCCCCUAAACAAAUAUAUACUAGUUCAGUGAUAAUGAACGCCAUACUAAUUUCCAAAUUGUACACAAGAAACUAAAAUUAAAAUAAUACAAGAC
rnacentral:lncRNA from 1 species